GAGGUGGGAAGGGUUGUUGUCCGGGGACGGGUGAUAAUGCUAAUCUCCUGGUUGGGGAGCGUAACGCUAAUACCGCAUACGUCCUACGGGAGAAAGCAGGGGACCUUCGGGCCUUGCGCUAUCAGAUGAGCCUAGGUCGGAUUAGCUAGUUGGUGGGGUAAUGGCUCACCAAGGCGACGAUCCGUAACUGGUCUGAGAGGAUGAUCAGUCACACUGGAACUGAGACACGGUCCAGACUCCUACGGGAGGCAGCAGUGGGGAAUAUUGGACAAUGGGCGAAAGCCUGAUCCAGCCAUGCCGCGUGUGUGAAGAAGGUCUUCGGAUUGUAAAGCACUUUAAGUUGGGAGGAAGGGCAGUAAGUAAUACCUUGCUGUUUUGACGUUACCGACAGAAUAAGCACCGGCUAACUCUGUGCCAGCAGCCGCGGUAAUACAGAGGGUGCAAGCGUUAAUCGGAAUUACUGGGCGUAAAGCGCGCGUAGGUGGUUCGUUAAGUUGGAUGUGAAAGCCCCGGGCUCAACCUGGGAACUGCAUCCAAAACUGGCGAGCUAGAGUACGGUAGAGGGUGGUGGAAUUUCCUGUGUAGCGGUGAAAUGCGUAGAUAUAGGAAGGAACACCAGUGGCGAAGCGACCACCUGGACUGAUACUGACACUGAGUGCGAAAGCGUGGGGAGCAAACAGGAUUAGAUACCCUGGUAGUCCACGCCGUAAACGAUGUCAACUAGCCUUGGAAUCCUUGAAUUUUAGUGCGCACUAACGCAUUAAGUUACCGCUGGGGAGUACGCCGAAUCAAUGAAUUGACGGGGCCCGCAACGGUGGAGCAUGUGGUUUAAUUCGAAGCAACGCGAAAACUACCGGCCUUGACAUGCAGAGAACUUUCAAUGGAUGGGCCUGGGAUCUGACACCUGCAUGGUGUCGCAGCUCUGCGAGGGGACCAACACUCUGGGCACUCUAUGCAGGGAUACUCGCUGGGGCAUCAA
rnacentral:rRNA from 1 species